CCGUAGGUGAACCUGCGGAGGGAUCAUU
rnacentral:rRNA from 8 species